GAUGAACGCUGGCGGCGUGCCUAACACAUGCAAGUCGAGCGGUAUAUAUUGGAAUGAAACUUCGGUCGAGUGAAGAUAUAGAGAGCGGCGGACGGGUGAGUAACGCGUGGGCAACCUGCCUCAUACAGAGGGAUAGCCUCGGGAAACCGGGAUUAAAACCUCAUAAAGCCAUUGAUUCACAUGUUUCGAUGGCCAAAGAUUUAUCGGUAUGAGAUGGGCCUGCGUCUGAUUAGCUGGUUGGUGAGGUAACGGCCACCAAGGCAACGAUCAGUAGCCGACCUGAGAGGGUAAUCGGCCACAUUGGAACUGAGACACGGUCCAAACUCCUACGGGAGGCAGCAGUGGGGAAUAUUGCACAAUGGGCGAAAGCCUGAUGCAGCAACGCCGCGUGAGCGAUGAAGGCCUUUGGGUCGUAAAGCUCUGUCCUAGGGGAAGAUAAUGACGGUACCCUGGGAGGAAGCCCCGGGCUAACGUACGUGCCAGCAGCCGAC
rnacentral:rRNA from 1 species